rnacentral:lncRNA from 1 species
AAACCUUUGAGAACUGCUGCUUUAACCUGUAUCCUCUUUUUUUUUUUUUUUUUUAAAUAUUCUCACUAGGACCACGCUGAAAUUCGUACAACAUGAAAUACUGUCAUCCCUCACAUUGUAUUGAGCAGCUGGGAAUUUAUACGAAGCUGGGAAGGAACAGGGGAGGCACAGAAGGUUGUCAAGGUGACAGGCUCAUGAGAGACAGAAGGCAGCAUCUUCGUUGUAAGGAAGUAGAACAGCAUUUGCUGAGUGAGUUGCUUCUCUGAGAUAGAAUGUGACCAUAGUAUUCACCUGUGAGUCCUGUGCAAAUGUGCCCUGGAGCCAGUUUGCAGCAGCAAGUAAUCUAUCUGCAGUUUCACUUUCUGAGAUUUCCUGCAGCCAACUGGUAAACCGCAGUUGGACAUCAGAUGAUCCUUCGGACGUAUAGUAGCCUAACUUUACGUUGCAAUGCCUUCAUCAUUUGCAUCGCCUCAUUUCAUCAUCUAGGAAUUUUAUUCUCUUGCUUCAUCGUAAGAAAGGUGAGUACAAUAAGAUAUUUUUUAAAAGAUUUUUUAUUUAUUUAUUCAUGAGAGAUACAGAGAGAGAGGCAAAGAC